CACGUAGGGCGCAAGCGUUGUCCGGAAUUAUUGGGCGUAAAGAGCUCGUAGGCGGUCUGUUGCGUCCGCUGUGAAAACUCGGGGCUUAACCCCGAGCCUGCAGUGGAUACGGGCAGACUAGAGGUAGGUAGGGGAGAAUGGAAUUCCCGGUGUAGCGGUGAAAUGCGCAGAUAUCGGGAGGAACACCGGUGGCGAAGGCGGUUCUCUGGGCCUUGACUGACGCUGAGGAGCGAAAGCGUGGGGAGCGAACAGG
rnacentral:rRNA from 1 species